AUAAAAUUGAUCUGCUCCGAUUUUCUGCCUAGCAACGCACCAGCGCAUCAAACAGAAAAUCGGCGGCGCCCCGCACCGGACGAGGCGCACCUUCAGCCCUAGCCCCUCGGCUCCUCCUCUCCGUAACCCCAAAUCCAGCGGCCAUCCCUCCCGAGUCCCGAGUCGUUUCUGUUGCCUAGCUAGUUGCCCCUCUCGCCUUUGGCGGCCGCGGCGGCUGAUCGGGGGUGGCGCAGGCAAAUCGCCGCUCUUGAAUCUGGUGACCAUCCCAUUACCUGCUCUUGAUCCGACUUUGUAAUUGCGGGAUUUGGGGGUACGUGUUUGAUUGUGAUACGUGCACAUGUUUGAACGGGAUUUAAGCUUUGCUGAGAUUUCGACGAUAAGUCUGCUAUUUUCAAGAGACUCUGGCGUGCGCGCCGUUGCCCGAAGAUUUUCGGUGUGACGAACCCUCGUUCGCUCGGCAGGCCGAUGGAACCCGAACUCCACAGCAGCAGCAAAUUGUUGGAGGUUCUAGCCAAAUCACAUCCGUGCAAGAGCGUGUAGGAGGGUGCCAUGCAGGCAAAGGCUUUGGAUAAUAAGCUUAGUAAAAUUGCACAAGAUCGGGUCAUACAUUCUACAGGUGGAUGAAUUUGCUCACCAUUUGUGUUGCCCGAGUUUGGUGGACCACUGCAGCAUGCCAUUUUCAAGAUACUAUAUGAUAAACUGGUUCAAGAGAACGAAGUGGCCAUACUAUAUGAUAAACUGGUUCAAAAGAACGAAGUGGCCGAAUGGAAGGUCGUUGCUGAUGCACAUGUACAUUUUAUGGAAUUCAAACGACGGUGUACCCAUUAAACCUCUCUAUGGUCCUCCUUUCCCAACAAUCCCACC